rnacentral:snRNA from 1 species
CAAUGUGAGGGGGAUCUGGCCGUGACAUCUGUCACCUCAUAGAUCACCAGGCUUGAUUCUAGGCAGAUACUCUGUCCCUCACUGCUCCUACAGCUGCACGCUAAGUUGAAGAGGAUGACCCUCGCUGAGUAGAGGAGGACCUGUAUUCAGUCAAAGAUGUGGGAGUAGCUGUGCUCCCCUGCUAGAGCUCCAAACAAGCUCUCAAAAGGAUGGAGAUAGGGAUGAAACCGUUCUGUGUACCAAGUAGGAUGCAAGUACUAAGGUUUUCUU